rnacentral:lncRNA from 1 species
CUUCUCAUUCAUGAAGAAGUUUUACUUCUCUCCUGGUUUCACAGCUCUGUGGCUGGCUGAAAGGGAUUUCGCAUUCACUGGACAGGAGCACGAAGGCAACUUUGUUGUACCGUAGGAUCAAAAGAGGUAGGUAUUCAAUUUAGGUUGUCUACAUUGCUCUACAGAGGACAUAAACUACUUGAAUUUAGGUUACCUGGCCCUGUGUUUCCACAAUUAUGAUCCAGCCAAGAAUAACUCCUCUUUACAAUGAAGCUUUAAGCUCCAUUAAAAUGUCACAUUAAUGCUCAGUAGCAGUCAAACGGCAAAUAGGAUGUCAGGAGUUUUUUUGCAAAAGCAUAGAGAACAGCACAGAGGAUGCCUUUCUGCCCCGUAAUAAACUCAUGGUGAAUACUGUGUACA